AUUGAACGCUGGCGGCAUGCUUUACACAUGCAAGUCGAACGGUAACAGCACUUCGGUGGCUGACGAGUGGCGAACGGGUGAGUAAUACAUCGGAACGUGCCUAGUAGUGGGGGAUAACUACUCGAAAGAGUAGCUAAUACCGCAUGAGAUCUAAGGAUGAAAGCAGGGGACCUUCGGGCCUUGCGCUACUAGAGCGGCUGAUGGCAGAUUAGGUAGUUGGUGGGAUAAAAGCUUACCAAGCCGACGAUCUGUAGCUGGUCUGAGAGGACGACCAGCCACACUGGGACUGAGACACGGCCCAGACUCCUACGGGAGGCAGCAGUGGGGAACUUUGGACAAUGGGCGCAAGCCUGAUCCAGCAAUGCCGCGUGCAGGAUGAAGGCCUUCGGGUUGUAAACUGCUUUUGUACGGAACGAAAAGCCCUCUUCUAAUACAGGAGGGUCAUGACGGUACCGUAAGAAUAAGCACCGGCUAACUACGUG
rnacentral:rRNA from 1 species